AAGGAGCUUCCUCGGUUGGCAACGACAGCAGCCGCCCUCGGGGAGGUGGGGAGCGUGCCGCUGCUCCCUUUGGCCCGCUCCCGGGAGCCGGAACCCGGGCCUGGGCACCUGCCUCAGACCGGAAGCCGGGCGCGCGGCCGGCCUUCGGUGGGCAGGGGUUGCGCGGAGCUCGCCCGUCGACGCGCUAGAAGAACAGAUCAGUGUUCACAGUGACUUCAUACAACUACCUCACAAAAUAAGAAUCAGUUAUUUACCAAAAGGUACCCAGGGACACAUAGGUAGCGUGAAUUUGUGCCUUCAAACGUAAGAGGACCUGCUUGUUGCAAGAAACUCUCAGGGAAACAUUCCCUACCCACCGGCAUCUAGCCAAAUCCAAGGCUAAACAGGUAAGUUGUUGUUGUUUUUUUAAAUUUUUAUCUUUUUGAGUUUAUUUAUUUAUCUUGAGGGGAGAGAGGGAGCGACAGAGAGAGCAAGCGAGAGAGAGAGAGAGAGAGAGAGAUUGAGAAUCUUAAGCAGGCUUCACACCCAUCAUGGAGCCCAACUCGGGGGCUCAAUCUCACCACUGAGAGAGUAUGACCUGACCCAAAAUCAAGAGUUGGAUGCUUUACUGACUGAGCCACCCAGGCGCUCUUAGUUACUGAAUUUUGUAAUGUAUCUAUGGUUAUGCACUAUUCUCAUCAGCCUAGUUCCCAGCGAGAAUACUGACCUCUAACAAGUACCUGCCUUAAUAAUAAAGGGUAACUGGUAAACGCA
rnacentral:lncRNA from 1 species